rnacentral:lncRNA from 1 species
AUGAUUUGCGUGACAUAUGAAACGCAGUCGCACAUCAACAAGCAGCCGGGCUUCGGGGACGUGGCCAUGGCCUCUGUGGUGCUGGUGCUGCUGAUGGCGACUGAGAGGAACCGGAGGGGAGCGCCCCCCGAGCCCGCGGCUGCCGCCGAGGUUGGGUUGUUUUCUGCCUUAAUGUCAAUCGAUAUGUUGGAAGUUAUCAAAAAGUUCAUGAGAAAUCCAUUUCAACUUCUAAUGAAGAAGGAAGAAUUGAUCCUUGAAAGGACCAGUAUUUUAUAAUAUUUUUGAAAGAGGAAUUGGCAG